AUGUUCUCCCUGUGCAUGUGUGGGUUCUCUCCGGUUCUCUGGCUUCCUCCUACACUUAAAAACAUGCACGUUAGGUCAAUCGGGUCCUCAGAAAUGUCUUUCAGGUGUGAGUCAGUGUGUGGCUGUUUGUCCUGUGUGCCUCUGUUGAAGCAAAUUAUUAUCUGAUUAAUAAUUGAUUGCUCUUAAUGUUUUGACUACACCUCAUUUCCCAUUUAUUUAUCCAUUUUUUGUUGUUUAAGUAGGGUUUGUCUGAUGUGUCUGGCUGUCUAGAGCCUAAUUCAUUCAACAGCCAUCACUUUACAAUCCAGUUCGAUGAGAUGUGAGUGUGAGCAGCAGAAUUUCACCUGAUGUGGCAGAUCUUUGAGGUGUUUGUCUGUUGCAUGUCUCUGCAGUGAGACGAUGACUGACAAAGAUAUUCAGACUAAAUCAAGGUAGCUGUUCGAGC